UGUUUAAUUUCAAUUAACUGUAUAAAAAAAUAUCGGUGAAAAAUAUUAAUUAAAAAAUCGACUAUUACUCGAAAUAAAAAUAUUGAAAAACGGAGUUGGACGCGGUCCGCGGGAAAUCUUCCCGUUUUCGUAAAAUAAAUUACUAUCACCGGGUCACUCUACGACGGGGCACGAGAGUAAUUCCCGUGGGCCGUUUUUUCGGAUCCCCGUCGGCCGACAACCAGGCGCCAAAAGUUAGAGAAUUUACUACGGUCGCCACUUCCCUAAUUCGUUCGCCGUGUACGUCAAUUACAGGCCCGCAUCGUAAUCCGAGCAAUAACGAACCCCAAUAAUGAAUUCCUGUCCCGCAUCGUUUAGGGCCCCUGCCGGGGUCGCGCGACGGUUUUCGUCUUCCGUGUAUUUUUCAUACCGGGUGAUCGUCAUGUUCGACUACCGGCGGAUUUCUAUUCACUCUCGCGGCAUACGGCGCGCAAUAUUUACAGCCGAACGUUAUAUUAUAUUUUGCCCGUCUCCACGUGUAAAUCCGUAUCCAGUGCUCGGACAAAUGAAGAACGAAGAUGGGAUGGGGGUGUAAUAAAAGACUCAAAUUAAAUGAUGAUAGAACUCGACCUGACCCACGGGUAAUUAUUGUUAUAGGGGUUCGCUGUUUAGCGCGCUCGCCCUCCCCACAUUUCGAAAAUUGCCUCUGUACGAACAUGAAAAAUUCCUGACCCCGAGUUUAUUAUAAUAUGAAAAAGAAACUGAUAAAGAACGCGUACGAUGGACGGACCUCUGUUGUUACGGGGGAAAUCGGAAGGGAGGAUACGUAGAGUAAUUUAAUUUACGUGACGAAAAACGAUGCUGAGCGGAAUACAGUUGGCCGGAUAUCGUCCCGUGUAUUUGCCGCGCAAACCUAGAACAGAAAUCGGCGAAAAUUCCAUUUGUUCAGAUAACUACGAGAGAAAUUUUUUAAAAAAAACCGGCCGUUUUCCCAGAAACGGUAUCGCGAAAUGUGGAACCCGUGGAUUUUUCG